rnacentral:sRNA from 1 species
GCAGGGAGUGCUGACACACACCUGUCAUCCCAGCAGCUAGGGAGGCUGAGGCAGGAGGAUCGCGAGUUCAGAGCCAGCCUCAGCAACAGCGAGGCGCUAAGCAACUCAGUGAGACCCUGUCUCUA